UGUAAGAGAAGAGCAGCAGCUAUGAGGAAGCCUGGAGACUGCUGUACAUGAAGAAAAGGCUGUCAUCGGUAAAUUGUCAUCCACAUGUACUGAAUAUACAGUUGGUAGUGUGAAUACUGUGUACUCAUGCAAGGCUUAUCCCUCUCAGCUUGCUAUGAUGCAAGUAUUUUGGAUCAUGUUGCUCUAUUACAAGCAAGCCUACCAUAAGCAGCUCAAGCACAGGCAUAACUGGAUCUUUAUGGCACAUCAAGAAGAUCAAUGGACACCCUGAAUACAG